UACGAAGGGGGCUAGCGCUGCUCGGAAUCACUGGGCGUAAAGCGCACGUAGGCGGAUCUUUAAGUCAGGGGUGAAAUCCCAAGGCUCAACCUUGGAACUGCCUUUGAUACUGGGGAUCUCGAGUCCGGAAGAGGUUGGUGGAACUCCGAGUGUAGAGGUGAAAUUCGUAGAUAUUCGGAAGAACACCGGUGGCGAAGGCGGCGACCUGGGUAGAUACUGACGCUGAGGUGCGAAAGCGUGGGGAGCAAACAGG
rnacentral:rRNA from 1 species